ACCACAGCCGCAGCAACGCAGGAUCCGAGCCGGGUCUGCAAACUACAACACAGCUCUUGGCAAUGCUGGAUUCCCCAACCCAUGAAGGAGGCUGUGGAUCAAACCUUCAUCCUCAUGGAUACUAGUCAGCCAUUUGCCUCAAGUUGAAGACUUGGGAGUUACCUGAAGACAGAAUUCACUUUGGAGUUAGUGUUUCUCAUCUCUAAAGGGAAAUCACCUUCUGGUGAAAGAAACAAGAUUCAGAGGUAAGGUGGCUUGUCAGAGAUCCCUACCACAUUUCAAGGAUAAGAGUUGGAACCAUACAUCCUGCCUUCUGAAACGAUAUCCUCUCUAUGCCAUCAUGCCUCUGCCAAAAAGUAGAUAGAAGACUUAUAAGAUGAAAACUAGGAGUUCCCACUGUGCUCAGCAAUAAUGAACCUGACUACUAUACAUGAGGAUGCGGGUUCAAUC